rnacentral:lncRNA from 1 species
CUCAGAGAUGUACUCCUCAAUGUCUGAGUCGUCUAGUACUACCAACGGUACCUCCGCCACUGGCAUUGGUACAAUUUCAACUUGGUUCACUGAAUACUCACUUAUCAUCUCCACGUUUCUAAACAUCAAGCUAUCAGUUGACAUCUACAAACACAUAACACAUUGAUUAGUACAUAAUACACAAUAGUAUAAGCACAAAUCACAUUUAAUAUAUUUAAGAUU